AUCCUCACCUCGGUCAGUAGCAAUGUUCCCUUUUCACCAUACAAGAAUUCCACCUACAACUGGAAAAAAAAUGUUGCGACCCAAGCGCGAACGCCCCCCACCCAGUCCAUCAGGCGCCCCCGGUACCGUGCACGCGUGAUUGGCUGAAUGAGAAGCAGCAGCCGGAACCUUCGCAGCAACCCGCAGAAGACGACCGCCGCCGCCACCACAAGCGGCGACAUCAUCACAAAGCCGAGAAUGAUGAGGGCCGAGCUGCUGUUGUCGUCAAGGGGCAGUCAGGCUGUUGAAGAGGAUCCGGUUUGGUGGCUGCAGGAUUGGGUCUCUGCUUUUUCCUUGUCCUGACGGCUUCAUCUGGCCAGGAUCUUCAGCUCUCACUGGAUCGGUUCGCAGCCGAAUGUGAAGCGACUGGGAUGAGAAUCAGCACCUCCAAGUACGAGUUCAUGGUUCUCGCUCGGAAAAGGGUAGAGUGCCAUUUCUGGGUUGGGAAGGAGACCCUGCCCCAUGUGGAGGAGUUAAAGUACCUCGAAGUCUUGUUCGCGAGUGAGAGAAGAGUGAAUCGUGAGAUUGACCGGUGGAUCAGUGCAGCGUCUUCAGUAAUGCAGACGCUGUAUCGAUCCAUAAUGGGUAGGAAAGAGCUGAGCCAAUCGAUUUACUUUCCCAAUCUCACCUACGGUCAUGAGCUUUGAGUUAUGACCGACAGGACAAGAUCACGGGUACAAGCGGCCAAAAUUUGUUUCCUGCGCCGGGUGGUGGGUGUCCCCCUCAGAAAUAGGGUGAGAAGCUCUGUCAUCCGGGAGGAGCUCAGAGUAAAGCCGUUGCUCCUCCACAUCGAGAGAAGUCAGAUGAGGUGGUUCGGGCAUCUGGUCAGGAUUCCACGUCAACGCUUCCCCAGGGUGGUGUUUAGGGCACGUCUGACUGUUAAGAGGCCACGGGGAAGACCCAGGACACGUUGGGAAAACUUUGUUUCCCGGCUGGCCACGGAAUGCCUCGGGAUCCCCCUGGGACAAAGUGGCUGGGUAGAGGGAAGUCUGGGCUUCUCUGUUUAGACUGUUGCCCUGGCCACCCGACCUCGGAAAAGCGGAAGAAGAUGGAAGGAAUGGAUGGACUCUAAAAUCAUGCUGAUUAAAAAAGCAGAGUCUUUAAAAGGUGUCCAGGUAUUAACUUUUUUGACACAAACAAGUUUUGAAAGACGGGUUGUAUUCUCAGGGAAUUCAAUUGGUCGCAACUGGACUUUUUGGUUUGUCUUAGAAGACGUUUGGCCUCUCAAUGGAAUAGGCUUCACCAGUUCAUUCUCAUAGACUUAGCUUGGUCAAGACAAACCAAACAGUCCCGUUGCGAUCGAUUGAAUGCCCUGGGAGGACAAUCACCUGGAUGAAUGAGAACAUUCAUAGUUGUCUUAUAAUCAGCUGUCAUAUAUACAGUCUAAUAUAGGUAGAGGUAUGUUUGCCCGAUUGUGGACUACUUGGGGAUACCAAUGUGUGUGAAAUGAUGCUGCACAAUUCCUGUCGCUCACACUGGAAACGCGGGUGCCAAAGUGGCUGCAAGCUGUGCAUAACGAGGCAGGAAGUCUCGUCGCAAUUAACAUUGUUACAGCUCACUUGAUUGCCAACUCAAUUCCAAUCAGGUCGCUUUUGAGGUUUUCGUAUUUGGUUUGACAUUUGCAGAAGACACAAUUAAUAGUCCAGUCAUAGGGUUUUUAACGCCGCUUGUUGUGAUUUCCAGGCCAACAGGCUAACCACUUUUAUUGAAUAUAUCAUUUUCUACCAAAGACAAGUCUAUCGGAACAAGGAGAGUGAUGACAACGUUUCUUAGUCGUCAAGGUGAAGUUCUUCAAAGGAGGCAAAGAGUGGUCCUUCUGCCCUUCUUAAUAACUCCUAGUAUCUCUUCCAACUAUCUUGAAACAGUAUCAAUAUCAAAGAUGUGAAACUUGCAAAGACCACCGGAGAAACACGAGACCAGUCAGGAAUAUUUCAAAGCUGUCCAUGAUUGGGGUCUGUGUUCUAAUUCCCUCGGUUUUUCAUCUAUUGUCGUUCCCUGACUCACAAAUUUGAAAUCACAGAAGCGUGAUUAACUCGGAGCAACGCUAGGAUGAUCCCGAUGAGCGUAUAUUUAGUGCCUUACUCGUGUUUAUUGCCCACUGAGACGUCCUCCAAACCCCCACACGGCAGUGAAAUAUGUCGGCUUGUUCGAGGACAAGGCUGUCAAUCUUCACAGGAGGACGUGACAGCAGGACUCAGGUAGAACUGUUUUUAUUGGUCCCUGAGGUGGACACCAGAAGCAAAGUGCACGGCGUGAAACACGUAGAAUACAAGUAGAUCAUUUAUGUUGACACUGUGUGAUGGAAGCUUCAUAGCACAGCGUCAUUGCAUCAUCACAUGCCGUUGUCAUGGUAGCAGUGAGCCGAAAUGUAGUUGUGUUGAUAUAACAAAAAUAUCAUGUAAAAUAAGUUACAUAUUGACCCGAAUAAAAGACUGCCUUUGACCCCUUGGAACAGGGGUCAUCAACACAUGCGGCUCUUUAGCGGCGCCAUGAUGGCUCCAUGGAGCUUUUUAAAAAAUGUGUGGAAAUAGAAGGAAAAUGCUUUGAAAAAUAUGUUUUUUGUUAUAAUAUGGUUUCUGUAGGAGGACAAACACGACACGAGCAACGUUUUGUCCUACUAAUGUCAGCGGCCCUUGAACUCAACGUUGUGUGGACUGUGACUCAACAGUUUGUUUGCAUGUACAGCUUUCUCCAACGCUGCCACAGAAAGACGUGUUUUAUGCCACUCCUUCCUUAUCUCAUUUUGUCCACGAAACGUUUUAUACUGUGCGUGAAUGCACAAAGGUGAGCUUUGUUGAUGUUAUCCUUUUGUGUUUAGUGCUAAUGAGGCAUAUUUGGUCACUGCAUGACUGCAAGCUAAUCGAUGCCAACAUGUUAUUUAGGCUAGCUGUAUGUACAUAUUGCAUCAUUGUGCCUCAUUUGUAGCUAUAUUUGAGAUCAUUUAAUUUCCUUUUCCCAUGUGUAUUUAGUUAUUUUUCCAUGGUUCGUGACACAUUAGCUGUAUGUAAUAUUGGCUGCAUUUCUUAUAGUUGUUUGUGCGCAAUGUUGUUCCGGACCAAAGCAAAUAUUACCCAGCUUGCAAAGAUUGUAAUAAAUCCAUUAGAAGAAGACAGCCUGACGUUUUCUUUAAUUUGGACAUACACAUCUAUACCUUUGGCCAUUCUAAGGAGUUAUCACACAUUCUCAGAAGUUUUACUAAUGUUUUCUAAUGUUGUAAAAAUGUAUUGAAUAAAUAUUCCAUUUCAACAUUUCUGUCAAAGAAGAUUUGUA